rnacentral:rRNA from 1 species
CCUACGGGGAGCAGCAGUGAGGAAUAUUGGUCAAUGGGCGCAAGCCUGAACCAGCCAAGUCGCGUGAGGGAUGACGGUCCUAUGGAUUGUAAACCUCUUUUGUCGGGGAGCAAGGCACGCCACGUGUGGCGGGAAGGAGAGUACCCGAAGAAAAAGCACCGGCUAACUCCGUGCCAGCAGCCGCGGUAAUACGGAGGAUGCGAGCGUUAUCCGGAUUUAUUGGGUGUAAAGGGUGCGUAGGCGGAAGGUUAAGUCAGCGGUAAAAUGUCGGUGCUCAACACCGGCCUGCCGUUGAAACUGGUCUUCUUGAGUGAGCGAGAAGUAUGCGGAAUGCGUGGUGUAGCGGUGAAAUGCAUAGAUAUCACGCAGAACUCCGAUUGCGAAGGCAGCAUACCGGCGCUCAACUGACGCUGAGGCACGAAAGCGUGGGGAUCGAACAGGAUUAGAUACCCGUGUAGUC